CCUACGGGGCGCAGCAGUGAGGAAUAUUGGUCAAUGGGCGGAAGCCUGAACCAGCCAAGUCGCGUGAGGGAAUAAGGCCCUACGGGUCGUAAACCUCUUUUGCCGGGGAGCAAGGGCGGGGACGUGUCCCGGCCCGGAGAGUACCCGGAGAAAAAGCAUCGGCUAACUCCGUGCCAGCAGCCGCGGUAAUACGGAGGAUGCGAGCGUUAUCCGGAUUUAUUGGGUUUAAAGGGUGCGCAGGCGGUCUGUUAAGUCAGCGGUCAAAGCCCGGGGCUCAACCCCGGCCCGCCGUUGAAACUGGCAGG
rnacentral:rRNA from 1 species